CAGCCAGCAGCUCUAUAAGGAGAAAAGGGGGGGGGGUCAGGGUCAAAAGCCGAGGACCAUAGUGGACUCCCCAGUGCCCAGGCCCCCACCCCACCUCAUUCCUUCCCAGCAGAACGGCAUCUGAGGAGAAGGUGGGACCACCCUCCACUGCACCCUCUCUUCACUCUCGGCCCUAUGGUCACCCAAGGACUCUUCCAGGUCCUCAAAAGUGCAGGCUCCUCACCACUCUGGGGCUUCUCUACACUAUUCCUCCUGCCCGGAAUGUCCCUCCCUGGCCCCUCGUCCAUCUAGCCAACUUCUCAUCCUCCAGCGUCCCGAUCAUGUCUUUUCCUUGGAGAAGGUAAGCAUGCCCUUCUCCCUUGUCCUUGCAUUUACUCAGCAUCAGGCAUUUGAUUUCCUGGCACUCACCACAUCAUCUCACCGCUAUAGCUGUGUCACUACCUGUGAAACGGGGCUUUCCUGUGAGACAGUAAGCCCCAUGGAGGCAGGGACUGUGCCUGCCUCGUUCACAUUGUUAUUCUGUAGUGCCCGCCCCAUUACAGGUGCACAGUAUUCUGCAGCCAGAGUUAAAUCUCUUGGUUGCUUAUUUGUGCCUGAAGGCACCUGGGAAUUUCAGAGGUGUGGGGGUGGAGAAUAGGCUAGUGAGGCUAUUAAGAGGAAGAGGGAGAGCUUCAAGCACGGACUCCGUUUGGCCUUCCACAGGCUCUGGCUCCACUGGUCCAUGAGCUUGCAGAGGAAGGAAUCCCUUCCUGUUGGUGUGUGUGGCUGGUCCAGGUGGAGAGCAGGCAGUGCUGAGCUAGCUGCUUUCAAAUGGGCAUCGAAUCCAGGUGCUCACCUAAGAGGUUGUUAGGGGAGGAUUUGUGGCUGAAGUAGCACAGGACGAGGGACAGAGCUGGACCUACGGGUGGACUUCACGGGCUGAAAAGAUUGCCUAGCCUGAGCCAAGAGGAACCAGCUCCAGGGAAGGUGAGGUGAGUGAGAAGAAGGUCACUGCUGACGUCAGGGACAUUCAGGAAACCGCUGAGCACAAAGGCAGCAUUGAUUCUCCACCACCCGUGAGGGGACUCUGGGAGGCCCGGCCGCCGCCGCGCGCUGCUUACCGCACCCUCUCGCCCGCACCUGGGGG